rnacentral:tRNA from 1 species
GCCCGGGUGGCGAAAUUGGUAGACGCGUACGUUUCAGGUGCGUAUGGUGCAUGCCAUGCGGGUUCGAGUCCCGCCUCGGGCACCA